rnacentral:rRNA from 1 species
GACGAACGCUGGCGGCGUGCUUAGCACAUGCAAGUCGAACGGAAAGGCCCUGCUUUUGUGGGGUGCUCGAGUGGCGAACGGGUGAGUAACACGUGAGUAACCUGCCCUUGACUUUGGGAUAACUUCAGGAAACUGGGGCUAAUACCGGAUAGGAGCUCCUGCUGCAUGGUGGGGGUUGGAAAGUUUCGGCGGUUGGGGAUGGACUCGCGGCUUAUCAGCUUGUUGGUGGGGUAGUGGCUUACCAAGGCUUUGACGGGUAGCCGGCCUGAGAGGGUGACCGGCCACAUUGGGACUGAGAGACGGCGCAGACUCCUACGGGAGGCAGCAGUGGGGAAUAUUACACAAUGGGCGGAAGCCUGAUGCAGCAGCGCCGCGUGCGUGAUGACGGCCUUCGGGUUGUAAACCGCUUUCGCCUGUGACGAAGCGUGAGUGACGGUAAUGGGUAAAGAAGCACCGGCUAACUACGUG